UGAAUAUCUGAGGAGACACACAUACUGGCUUCAGAUGAAGAACAAGCAUCCUAGCAAGUGGAGUUGGACUGCCUGAGGAAGCUGCAGGAGGGACAGAGAAGACAGCUCUCUUGGCAUCUUGUCUGUCUCCCCACCAGCCUGUGCUGUGGGAUCUGCUCCAGAGAGAGAAGAGUGUGUGGGCCCUGCAGAUUCUAGUGCAGGCAUACCUGCACAUGCCCCCAGAAAAUCUCCAGCACCUGGUGCUUUCAGCAGAGAGGGAGGCUGCUCAGGGCUUCCUGACACUCAUGCACCGUUCCUGGUCCCAGCUGCAGGUACCACCAUCUGAGGAGCAGGCCCUUGGUCGCCUGACGGCUUUGCUGCUCCAGCGGUACCCACGCCUCACCUCCCAGCUCUUCAUUGAUCUGUCACCACUCAUCCCCUUCCUGGCUGUC